rnacentral:rRNA from 1 species
UACGUAGGGUGCAGGCGUUAAUCGGAAUUACUGGGCGUAAAGCGUGCGCAGGCGGUUUGCUAAGACAGGUGUGAAAUCCCCGGGCUUAACCUGGGAACUGCGCUUGUAACUGGCAAGCUUGAGUGUGGCAGAGGGGGGUGGAAUUCCACGUGUAGCGGUGAAAUGCGUAGAGAUGUGGAGGAACACCGAUGGCGAAGGCAGCCCCCUGGGCUAACACUGACGCUCAUGCACGAAAGCGUGGGGAGCAAACAGG